GGAUGUGAGGGCGAUCUGGCUGUGACAUCUGUCACCCCAUUGAUCACCAGGGUCGAUUUGGGUGAUCUGGCUGGCUAGGCCGGUGUCCCCUUCCUCCCUCAGUGCUCCACACGCAUCCCUCCUGAAGCAGUGCACUCUGUUAAAGAGAACAACCUUCCCCGAUAGAGAAGGACAAGUCUAUGAGUAGUUGCACUCCCCUCUAGAACCUCCAAACAAGCUUUCAAGGUCCAGAUAUCUUCUCUCAUUCCUUGGAUCCUCCUCUUUUAGUUUGUUAGUGUGUUUGCUCAUUUUUGUACAGGGCUUGGGAUAGAACUCAAGGCCUUAAACAUGUUAGGCAGGCACUCUGC
rnacentral:snRNA from 1 species